rnacentral:rRNA from 1 species
GGUUAAGCGACUAAGCGUACACGGUGGAUGCCCUGGCAGUCAGAGGCGAUGAAGGACGUGCUAAUCUGCGAUAAGCGUCGGUAAGGUGAUAUGAACCGUUAUAACCGGCGAUUUCCGAAUGGGGAAACCCAGUGUGUUUCGACACACUAUCAUUAACUGAAUCCAUAGGUUAAUGAGGCGAACCGGGGGAACUGAAACAUCUAAGUACCCCGAGGAAAAGAAAUCAACCGAGAUUCCCCCAGUAGCGGCGAGCGAACGGGGAGCAGCCCAGAGCCUGAAUCAGUGUGUGUGUUAGUGGAAGCGUCUGGAAAGGCGCGCGAUACAGGGUGACAGCCCCGUACACAAAAAUGCACAUAUUGUGAGCUCGAUGAGUAGGGCGGGACACGUGGUAUCCUGUCUGAAUAUGGGGGGACCAUCCUCCAAGGCUAAAUACUCCUGACUGACCGAUAGUGAACCAGUACCGUGAGGGAAAGGCGAAAAGAACCCCGGCGAGGGGAGUGAAAAAGAACCUGAAACCGUGUACGUACAAGCAGUGGGAGCACGCUUAGGCGUGUGACUGCGUACCUUUUGUAUAAUGGGUCAGCGACUUAUAUUCUGUAGCAAGGUUAACCGAAUAGGGGAGCCGAAGGGAAACCGAGUCUUAACUGGGCGUUAAGUUGCAGGGUAUAGACCCGAAACCCGGUGAUCUAGCCAUGGGCAGGUUGAAGGUUGGGUAACACUAACUGGAGGACCGAACCGACUAAUGUUGAAAAAUUAGCGGAUGACUUGUGGCUGGGGGUGAAAGGCCAAUCAAACCGGGAGAUAGCUGGUUCUCCCCGAAAGCUAUUUAGGU